AGGACGAACGCUGGCGGCGUGCCUAAUGCAUGCAAGUCGCACGCAGGGAGCUUGCUUUCUGAGUGGGCGCGACGGACGUGAGGAUCGACGUGGGAACAUGCCUCCUUGUGGGGGACAACACCGCGAAAGCGGUGCUAAUCCCGCAUACGCUCGGCAACGAGGAAAGCGUGAAACGCGCAGGGAGAGUGGCCCGCGGCCCAUCAGGUU
rnacentral:rRNA from 1 species